GGAGGGUGCAAGCGUUGCUCGGAUUUACUGGGCGUAAAGAGUACGUAGGUGGUUUGGUAAGUCUGAUGUGAAAGCCCACGACCCAAUCGUGGAAGUGCAUUGGAUACUGCCAGACUAGAGUACAGGAGGGGUGAGCGGAAUUCCAGGUGUAGAGGUGAAAUUCGUAGAUAUCUGGAGGAACAACGGCGGCGAAGGCGGCUCACUGGACUGUUACUGACACUGAGGUACGAAAGCGUGGGGAGCAAACAGGGAUUAGAUACCCUGGUAGUCCACGCCGUAAACGAUGGAUACUAGAUGUCGGGAGCACUUACUCUCUCGUUGUCGAAGCUAACGCGUUAAGUAUCCCCGCCUGGGGAUACGGCCGCAAGGUUA
rnacentral:rRNA from 1 species